AAGUAACUUUUGCUUGCUUUUUCUUGAAAUGGGUUCUCCAAUAGUUCUUGAUCUCAUUGUCAGUUCUUCCAGGCAAGCUUCUCGCUAUUGUUGACCACCUAAAGCAUUCAAGUUUCACACUAUGAUAUGGAUGCUUAGGUAAAGGUUUUGCUGUCUUCCAAAUUCUAUGGCAAAUGGUGUAAGUGUUUGCUACAUAUUUAUAUUGGCAGCAAAGGCAUUACUUUUUCCCAUCAGUCAUUUUGCUGUCAUUUUCAAAUCAUCCCUAUCUUUUCUACUGUUUAAGGUACAUACAUGGUGAUCUUUCUUUAAAUUCCAUCACACAACUUGGUGAAAUGACCAAAAUAUACUCUGCACAUUCUCACUUUUUUGUGGGGUCUAGCUUAUCACAGGGUUAGUGUUCAACAACUUUAUUAACAUGUUUUGGCAAUCUAUGAAUCCUGACCCUUGAACUGGUGAUGAUCUUGUCAUUAUAUUAUUGAAUCGAGUGGCUUAUAAGAUGUGAUGCUGUACAAGACAAUAUUUGACUCCUAUAUGAGGUCAUUUUGGGAAUCCAAUUAAUAAAGAUCUGCCAA